rnacentral:lncRNA from 1 species
AGGGGUUUAAACGGAGUGCUGGUGAAGAUGUGUUGCUGGGUAAAGUGAUUCUCAGACUUGACCUCCUGCUGCCCUGCUCCCACCCUGGAAUGGAGCAGGUGCCAGGUGGACAUGGCUGCAGGUGCUGUGGGAGGUGAGUCGUGCAGCCACAGGGGAAAACGUUUCAGGAUCCAGUGUCCGUCCUUCAAAGUUGCUUCUAACAAGGAAACCGCUGCCUAAUCACCGGCACCUGUCAAAUUGGAAUCUCAGUCACAGCCAUCAGCCUGUAAGCUGGAUCUGGGAGGCUUUGUUUCUGGAGACUUCUGCUUUCUUUGGAAGGCAGGCUCAAACCUGAUCCUCUAUACAACGGUCCCGAGUUAAAUCUGGCCAGUCUGAAAAGCCAGCCAUGCUGGCGAGUGCAUGAAAAUCCUGCUUCAAAGGCAGAGAGCCGGGCUCCACGCGACAUUCCGCACCUUCCUCAGGGUGGCUUCUCCUUCUCCCUGGCCUCGUACCCUAGAAC